UGUUAGUUUUAACGAGUUUGCAUCCAAGUAUAACCCCAACAAAUUUUUGCAUCACAUGCCGUCUCUCUCCUCUCCCACCAUUUCUCUUUCUGCUUUAUCACUCUCCAAAUCUUUAACGAGUGACCUCUCGUCUCCUAGCUCCUGCUUUCCCCCAUAGAGGCAGGCGGCUCCAUCGCUCCCGUCGGGCUCGCCUGAAAAUCUCAACACAAAUCGAAGUUUGUUUUUCUAAAGAACUGCGGGCGCAAGCGCUCGUGUUCCCUGGCGGUUGCCAGCAUGUUUGUGUUCCCUUCCGGGCUGGGUGCUGCGCAUUCAUCUUCCCGCAGGUGGUGGGGGCACCUCACCCUGCUCGUCUGGCUGUUGAUUCUAAGCUCAACUCACAGAUCUCUCUCUCUCUCUGAUGCUUUGUUGCUUUCUCAUCUUCUUCCUCCUAUUCAUCGACAGUAGCAGUCGCACAUGGAAUGGAAAAAUCACUCAGUUGCUUACUCGUAUCUAGUUCGAGUGGAUGGGUAAAGCAGCAAAGAUAUAUACGUAGGAGAAUUAAAUUAGCAUGUGCUUGCCAAGAUUUCACGCGAAUAGUUUAUUAUACUAGUGAUUUCUAGCUACACAAAAGUUCUCUGUCUGUCAUCUAUAUACCUUGGUUCCUUUGCUCAGUUUACCCCAACUCAUGAUGUCACAUGUUUUUCUUAUUCUUUUGUUUGUUUUUGACUGAUCGUAGAUGCCACAUAGGAUUAAUUAUUCUGGAGAGUGAAAAUAGCUCUAUUGAGAAAUUAUUAUCAGAGAUUGGAGUCGUUAUCAGAUAGUCAAACUUGCAUGUACCAGUUUAUUUCGCCUUGUCAUAUGUAAGUUGAAUUGUAAAGCUGCAUGUUGCAUAAAAAUUCAUCACGCAAAUAUAUACGGAAGUAUUGCUUAAUUUCAUUAGAUUUUUUUAUGUAGUUGGUUCGCCUUUUCCCUGUGGUUCUUUUCUAUUUUAGUUCUUGCAGCCCCAACACCGCUUUAAUAAUUAUAUCGUGUUGUCAUAUCAUAUCAGUACAUUUAUACUGUGCUUGCAUGAUUGUUAUCUAUGUAAGUUCUGUUAUCUAUAAGUUUUUUUUUCUCUGAGUUUGUAGAUGUGCCUUGAAAAUUACAUUAUUAGUGAGAUCUAGCUAUUAGUUAAUUUCAUCUGACUUAUCUUUGUUGAUGUUAUAGUGUUGUUAUUGUUAUUUGUAUUAUUGUCAUGGUGAUUAUAAUUUUCAUUUUUGUAAAAUAUUCCCUGCAUUUGUGCACGAUUAUAGUUUUUUUGUUUGCAGAUGGGUUAGAUUGUUAUUUGUCAAAAAAAUACAACAGAUUUGGACAAAAUGGAUAUUGGUGCUGGCGCCAAAAUGUUAUUAGAUUCUGGGUUAUUAAUCAUCCUGAUUAAGUAAUGGUAGGUGCUGCUAGUAAAAUUUGAUAGAUUUGUAUACCUGAAAUCUGUUCCUUUUUGUCUUGUUGACGUGUCAGAUUGUGAUUUGUCAAAAAAUUCAAUAGAUUUGGGAACAAGAAAUCUGUCGAAUGAUAGGUCGACAUUCCCAUUAGAAAAUUAGAAGAUCAUAGUCUCACAAGACAAAAUUCAUGAAAAGGAAACAUAAUAACAUGGCAAGUUACACUAACAUUGUAACGUCCUUUAUAUUCUAGGAAGGAUGUGUUGCGCUGAUAAUUUUUUGUUAUAGUUCUCGACUUCCUGUAGUUUGUUUCUUUGGUUAAACUUUUGUGCGUUAACAGCCUUGUUGUGUUGGCAGCGCUAGUUUAGUUUCUGGUCGUGACUGUGAUUCGGUGUGGCAAGAUUUUUACUCUCCCGUCCCAUAAAGAAUGCAAUUCUAAGUUUUAAAAAAUCUCACAAAAGUUUAAUCCCAGCAACAAGUACCUGUCUUAUCCUUUUAAAUAUAUUUUUAGGAUUUAAUUAUGUGCAUGUUGUAAUAACUCUACGGAUUUGAACAUCUAGCAUGCCUAAAUUAAUGGGAUUGUCAAUCUGCUAAUAACAAAUCUAUCUGGAGAAAAAAAUUAGAAUUGUAUGUUUUUUAUGUGACGCAGGGGCAUAUGCUCUCUAUUUCUUUAAAGGAGGCGGCUAAAAUACGACCGGCCGUAAAAACAACUAUCCGUACGGCCUAUCUAUUUUUAGUAAAAACCUCGAACCGUCAGCUUUCCCACCCCACAUCUAGGGCCCACCUUCAAUGACCUCCCCCACCGAUCGCCCAGCACACUGCCUACAGAAAAUUGCCUAGACGUUGAUGUUGGCCUCCACCCCGCGCCACCGCCAUAGACCCAAAGAAAAACAUAAAAAAAAGUAGAACUGCUCCUCUGAAGAGGAGAUGACGGUCACAUCAACAGGAUAUUGUGUCAGGCAAAAAAGUGUGCAGAAAAAAGACUCUGGAGAUGGGAUGAUAACCGAAGAACAAACAAAAGAGAUGUGUGCGCAUCUAUACAGGCCAGAUUUUUUUUACAAAACCUGCUACAAAUUUAGGGUUCCCUGGCUAGUAGAAAUAGAUCUAGAACACAUUAUUGCUAUAUCUACGAGAGAUAAACUGCAGUUGCCAUCUUGUGAGCUAUACACAUUGAAGAAUGAUCUGCUUGAUCCUGUACAAAAAAAAUCUUUGCCUUCCAUGUUGCUUGUCUCCCCAUCCCCCCUCCUCCCCUUUUAUCAGGAACUGGAAAAAAAAGUGUAGAUCAGAUGCAGCAAGUCAGUUUUUAUUCAGGCAGUAAUGUUGAGAAAAUUACUUAGACAAAAUGCUCAGUUAUGCUUUCCUGUGAACACAUUAUUGCCAUUGCCCCAAGUUAGUGGUAUUCUGGUAGCAAUGUUUAGAAAUUGCGUAGACAAAGAACUCUACUGUGCCUUUUAUGUGAACACAUUAUUGCCCAAUAAAAAAUGCCAAAGUUCAUUUUUAUUCGGACAGUAAUGUUGAGAAAUUGCUUAGACAAGGUGCUCAAUUAUGCUUUCCUGUGAACGCAAGUAUUGCCCAAGUUAAAUUGUAUUCUGGUAGUAAUGUUUAAAAAUUACUUAGACAAAGUACUCUAAUAUGCCUUUAUGUGCACACAUUAUUGCCCGAUAAAAAAUACCAAGUUGGUUUUAUUCUAGAAGUCAUGUUUACAAAAUAAUCAGGCAAAAAUUGUUUGUUAUGCCUUUAUGUAAACACAUCAUAGGCUCACCACACAAAAAUCUGCUUAAAAAACAAUGUUCCUUAAACUGAAAACAUCAUCACUCUAAUUCACCUGAUUUUGUUUAUGAAGAAAGCACACAUUACUACCUGGCAUAUUUUGAUUAUGAAAAGAUUGUGAGGCUUGCAGGAACAAUGGAUUUGAAUGAGCUGCCCCCUGAAUUUGAUUAUGAUUUCCCAGAUGAAGUUGGUACAAAUCCUUCCUAUUGCACUCAGCCAGCCUUUGGUGUUGCAUGGUCACAAUGCGAUGAGCGGGGCCAGAGCCACCAAAGCCAUAAUGAUGUUGGUGCCACACUGGAUGCUUGUAGUAGCACCCAAAACGCAAAUGCUUAUUCUGUUAACAAUCAAGAACCUAGUGUUGUGGCUGGUGAUGUUGUAGAAGAGGGGCUAGCAGAUAUUGUAGAAGAUGCAAUGCAAGAUAAGGUUUGGUUAACACCUCCAGUACUGUACAUGGGGCAGACCUUUGGCACCAUAUAGGAGGCUCGAGAGUUCUACAUUCCUAUGCAAAAGGGUUGGGUUUUAUAUCCGUACAAGCACUACAUGCUAUUGUUCCUAUUACUAGACCUAAAUAAAAUGAGUUCAGUAUCCUAUUGCAAAUACAUAUUAAAUGAAA